CAACAAUAUAAAUCACCACUCUAAAUCUUGCUGUCUGUCAUCCCUGUGUGCACUGUCCAAAUACUCAAGGAACCCCAAUGUGUGCACACUCAAGUCGUCGACAACUGUGUUCUGCACGCUUUAAAUCUCCAUCUCUGUCUCUCCAUGUCAUUUUGUCUGUCUCUGUGUCUGUCUGUCUGCCCCCCGCCCCCACACACACGAUUCAAUUUGGAGUUAGAUAAAUGCGGUUCGCACUGCCUGCACUGGAAAUCCGAAGUGGUUUGUCCUCGUCUCUCAGGGAUCUCGCACACUUCAGAUGAGCACAGGUGACGCGUCCGCCCCACCAUCAAGGACAGCGCUACUCUCAGACUCUAGAUCCAGACCUGCACCGAGAGGUGGACCCGCCAACUCUACCUGCUUCUCCUCUCAGCACCUUCUCCAGCUUCACGCCCUGGAUCGCCAAUGUCCUCUGCCGCUCCUCCACCUCCUCUAGUUGUCUCUGGAUGGCCUGUGAGACCAAGAACACAUGACGUGAGGGAGUUCAGUAGAUGUGGAAGCCUAAGAGGGUGGCUGAGCCUGCUACUAGCUGUCACCCGAGCUGUGAUUGCCCUGAUUCACCUGGCAGAGAUGCCGAAGCUCCUCAGCGUUGGAGCUUGUUGCUUUUGUCCUCAGGAUGAGCCACAGAGCACAGCAUCUGUGUAUGUGCACAGAGGAGUCAAAACUGCCCAACGCACUGGAGUCCUAGAUGUUACAUCCUUACAAAUAUGGACAUCAAAAUUCAGAAAGACAACCUGCCCAAAUUGAAACAAUUAGUAACGGGCAGAGUUCCGAACUGAGCCCAGGUGAGUAUUUCUUCAUAGGCAAUAUUGCCUUUCUUUACGCCACACCACGCCACGUACUGGCAAUCAAGGACGUCCACUUUAUGGUCCUAUAGUCCUACAGAAGUGUCAUUGUCCUCGAA